GAAGAUGUGGCUCAGUGGUAGAGCACUUGCCUGGCAUGCAUGGGACCUUGGGCUCUAGUCUCAGCACUGCA
rnacentral:tRNA from 1 species